rnacentral:rRNA from 1 species
CCUACGGGUGGCAGCAGUGAGGAAUAUUGGUCAAUGGACGAGAGUCUGAACCAGCCAAGUAGCGUGAAGGAUGACUGCCCUAUGGGUUGUAAACUUCUUUUAUAUGGGAAUAAAAUGUUCCACGUGUGGGAUUUUGUAUGUACCAUAUGAAUAAGGAUCGGCUAACUCCGUGCCAGCAGCGGCGGUAAUACGGAGGAGCCGAGCGUUAUCCGGAUUUAUUGGGUUUAAAGGGAGCGUAGGUGGAUUGUUAAGUCAGUUGUGAAAGUUUGCGGCUCAACCGUAAAAUUGCAGUUGAAACUGGCAGUCUUGAGUACAGUAGAGGUGGGCGGAAUUCGUGGUGUAGCGGUGAAAUGCUUAGAUAUCACGAAGAACUCCGAUAGCGAAGGCAGUUCACUGGACUGCAACUGACACUGAGGCGCGAAAGUGUGGGUAUCAAACAGGAUUAGAUACCCGGGUAGUC